UAAAACAGCCUUAACAUCUACAAUGCACCAAAUCCUAUAAGAACUUUGGCUAAGAGUGUUUGGUGGAAAAUAGUGCUAUAAUGGGUGAUCUUAUGAGAAGUCUUUUUGUUGCAUCUC
rnacentral:rRNA from 1 species